rnacentral:rRNA from 1 species
UACGUAGGGUGCGAGCGUUGUCCGGAAUUAUUGGGCGUAAAGAGCUCGUAGGCGGUCUGUCGCGUCGGUCGUGAAAACUUGGGGCUUAACCCUGAGCUUGCGGUCGAUACGGGCAUCACUGGAGUUCGGCAGGGGAGACUGGAAUUCCUGGUGUAGCGGUGAAAUGCGCAGAGUAUCAGGAGGAACACCGGUGGCGAAGGCGGGUCUCUGGGCCGUAACUGACGCUGAGGAGCGAAAGCAUGGGGAGCGAACAGG